rnacentral:rRNA from 1 species
GAACGCUGGCGGCGUGCCUAACACAUGCAAGUCGAACGAAGCACUGAGAAACUGAGAUUCGUCAAGGUUUUCUUGACUUAGCGGCGGACGGGUGAGUAACACGUGGGCAACCUGCCUCAUAGAGGGGAAUAGCCUUCCGAAAGGGAGAUUAAUACCGCAUAAGAUUGUAGUACCGCAUGGUACAGCAUUAAGGAGCAAUCCGCUAUGAGAUGGGCCCGCGGCGCAUUAGCUAGUUGGUGAGGUAACGGCUCACCAAGGCGACGAUGCGUAGCCGACCUGANAGGGUGAUCGGCCACAUUGGGACUGAGACACGGCCCCAGACUCCUACGGGAGGCAGCAGUGGGGAAUAUUGCACAAUGGGGGAAACCCUGAUGCAGCAACGCCGCGUGAGUGAUGACGGCCUUCGGGUUGUAAAGCUCUGUCCUCAGGGACGAUAAUGACGGUACCUGAGGAGGAAGCCACGGCUAACUACGUG